CCCAAUACAGAUAUGCAGAUGAGUGUGAGUAUAUACAUAUCAGUGUACAUAAACACCAAUAAUAUCAGUUAAUAUAGAAAUAUACGUAUGCCCUAUCAAUGCGCAAGGGUGCAUGUGCAGGCGCAUAUCAAUGUAUAUAUAACUGAUAGGAAGUUUAUACAUACGUAAAAACAUAUCACUAUAUGCAUAUCGUAUAUAUGCACACUAUGUAUAUAUAUAUGUAAAGUGCUAAUAAAUGUCUAUAUGGUCAUAUAUAUCUGUAUAUAGUAUGCAUGUAUUAGUGUAAACAUAUACAGUACAUACGCACUUAUCAAUGCGUAAGGGUGUAUGUGCGUGCACGUAUCAUUAUAUACAUACAUUGAUAAUUGUAUAUAACUGAUAGCAAACAACUGUAUACAUACAUGCAUAAACACAUCAUAGUAUAUAUACCCACAUCAGUCAUUACACAACAUGCGUAUAAGUGUACUAUAUAUCUGAGUGUGAAUGUGAGCAUGAGCGUGAAUGUGUGAGAGUGAGCGUGUGAGUGUAUGAGUAUGUGUGUGUGUGUGAGUGUGAGUGUGUGUUCGUGUGAGUGUGAGUGUAUGUGAGUGUGAGUGUAUAUGUGUGUCUGAGUGUGAGAGUGAGUGUGAGUGUGAGUGUGAGUGUGAGUGUGAGUGUGAGUGUGAGUGUGAGAGUGAGAGUGAGAGUGAGUGUGAAUGUGAAUGUGAAUGUGUGUGUGUGUAUGUGGUGAGUGUUAAGAAAAAGUUACUUAAUACAAUUGCAAACCACAAGUAAUACUCUUGAAAAUUCACUCCAUAUUUGCAUGAAAGAAGAAAGAGUGUGUUUGUUUUAAGAAAAAGUUACUUAAUAAAGACUGUGUGUCUUAAGAGUGUGUGUGUAUUAAGAAAAAGUUUCUUAAUAAAAUUGCAAACCACAAGUAAAGUUUCAGAAAAUUAAC
rnacentral:lncRNA from 1 species